rnacentral:tRNA from 1 species
AGGAUUAUAUUUAAUUAUAAUAUUUAAUUUGCAGUUAAAAGGUGUUUUUUUUAAAACUAAUCUUU